rnacentral:rRNA from 1 species
AGUCGACGCUUCUUUUUCCACCGGAGCUUGCUCCACCGGAAAAAGAGGAGUGGCGAACGGGUGAGUAACACGUGGGUAACCUGCCCAUCAGAAGGGGAUAACACUUGGAAACAGGUGCUAAUACCGUAUAACAAUCAAAACCGCAUGGUUUUGAUUUGAAAGGCGCUUUCGGGUGUCGCUGAUGGAUGGACCCGCGGUGCAUUAGCUAGUUGGUGAGGUAACGGCUCACCAAGGCCACGAUGCAUAGCCGACCUGAGAGGGUGAUCGGCCACAUUGGGACUGAGACACGGCCCAAACUCCUACGGGAGGCAGCAGUAGGGAAUCUUCGGCAAUGGACGAAAGUCUGACCGAGCAACGCCGCGUGAGUGAAGAAGGUUUUCGGAUCGUAAAACUCUGUUGUUAGAGAAGAACAAGGAUGAGAGUAACUGUUCAUCCCUUGACGGUAUCUAACCAGAAAGCCACGGCUAACUACGUGCCAGCAGCCGCGGUAAUACGUAGGUGGCAAGCGUUGUCCGGAUUUAUUGGGCGUAAAGCGAGCGCAGGCGGUCUCUUAAGUCUGAUGUGAAAGCCCCCGGCUCAACCGGGGAGGGUCAUUGGAAACUGGGAGACUUGAGUGCAGAAGAGGAGAGUGGAUUCCAUGUGUAGCGGUGAAAUGCGUAGAUAUAUGGAGGAACACCAGUGGCGAAGGCGGCUCUCUGGUCUGUAACUGA